rnacentral:rRNA from 1 species
UACGUAGGGGGCAAGCGUUAUCCGGAAUUACUGGGUGUAAAGGGUGCGUAGGUGGUAUGGCAAGUCAGAAGUGAAAACCCAGGGCUUAACUCUGGGACUGCUUUUGAAACUGUCAGACUAGAGUGCAGGAGAGGUAAGCGGAAUUCCUAGUGUAGCGGUGAAAUGCGUAGAUAUUAGGAGGAAUAUCAGUGGCGAAGGCGGCUUACUGGACUGAAACUGACACUGAGGCACGAAAGCGUGGGGAGCAAACAGG